UACAGAGGGUGCGAGCGUUAAUCGGAAUUACUGGGCGUAAAGCGUGCGUAGACGGUUAUUUAAGUCGGGUGUGAAAUCCCCAGGCUCAACCUGGGAACUGCGUCCGAUACUGGAUGGCUUGAAUCCGGGAGAGGGAUGCAGAAUUCCAGGUGUAGCGGUGAAAUGCGUAGAUAUCUGGAGGAAUACCGGUGGCGAAGGCGGCAUCCUGGACCGGCAUUGACGCUGAGGAGCGAAAGCCAGGGGAGCAAACGGG
rnacentral:rRNA from 1 species